rfam:Pongo abelii chromosome 10.
NNNUGUGUGUCCCUCCCGAAGCUGUGCACUCGGUCCAAGAGGACGACCAUCCCCAUAGAGGAGGACUCGUCUUCAGUCAAGGGUACACGAGUGCUGCACUCCCCUGCUAGAACCUCCAAAGAAGCUCUCAACAUGCACUGUGUGACCUUACUAUAAUAUCCUCCAGUUCCAUCCCAAGGAUUUCACUCUUUUUUAUGGCCGAGUAGAAUUCCAUG